CCUGGCGGCCUUAGCGCGGUGGUCCCACCUGACCCCAUGCCGAACUCAGAAGUGAAACGCCGUA
rnacentral:rRNA from 4 species